CCUCUUUGGUUAUUAAUUAUUUAUAUAACAGUUUUAUAUGCAUACAUAUUUUUUAUAUUAUUUUUAUUAUUAAUUUUCUUCAUGUAAAAAAAGGUAUAAUAAUUAUUAUUCUCUUCUUAAUGUAAGCGAUCUUUAUUUUGCGAUGAACAUCAUUUAAGAUACUCGAAUUAGCUUAAAUGAUGUAUUAAGUAGUGUAGAGGCUGUAUAGAAAGCAAUUAAUCUUAGGGAAGUAAUUUAAUUAAGGCGAGGAUGACACGCGGUUAAUUUUACCCUUUGUGUGUAAUUGCCUAAGUUGGCAAGAUUAUCCUGCGAGCACGAAAAUUGCUUGCAUCUCAUAACUUGCGAUUAAUACAACAAUAAUCCUAUGCAAGGAUUACACCAUAAUAAUGUACAGCGCAUAAUACAAAAAUAAAAGCUUUUCAAUAAAAAUUUGUCGCGAUAAAGUAGUCGUUACCGAAUUACAUAUAUAAAUACAUUACAUAAUAAAAACCUUUCAUAGUUUAGUUACUAUAGAAAAUGUUCAAUUUUUAAGCAACCAAAAAUUGCCUAAAAAUGUAUAUUACAUAAUUUAAGUUGUAUAUGUCAAUAAUUUAGUUUUAAGCAUAUAGAUAACAUAAAAAUAUAUUCAUUAAAAUUUGAAAUAAAGCGAGGCUUGUCAUAAAUGUUAAAAAGGAAAAGAUAUUUAUCAAAAAUGAUCGACACGAAUAAUUAAUAUUCUACUGUCGCUGUUUAUCUGCAAUCGAUCUUUUUUUUUACUUUUCCCAAUUAGUGAGGGACGUAGAUGCAUUCCUCUUUGUUUCUCUCUCGUCAGAGACAUCCACGAUAAAAGUCGUCAAUAUUUUCCAUGACGGCAACUACCGCGAUGUAAUGGAUACGAUACCGAAUGUCCGAAUGUAGUCGGACGCGUACGUACAUUCGUACACGCAUCUGCCAACGCGUGCAAACAACCAAUGCGGUGCGAUACGUCAAAGCACCGAGCGAGUUAUAAAUUCGAAUUGCGCUGCAUGACAAAACGGGCCCGGCUCUAUUUGCAGAUUGAAUUGCCGAUAUUAACGAAAAAUUCAUUAAACACAUGCGAUUUAUAGAUUAUAUAUGUGCGCGCAUUAAUAGCGGGGCCGCGGGCGCCCCUCGCAAUUUAGCUUUCGAAAUUUUGGAUGAGAGAUAAAGGCUUCCUCCGGUCUGCCCAUUUCAAUUGUUUAAUCUUUAUUGCCGCGGUACGUUUGAUCGUAAAUAUUGUUAUUUAAUGCGAGACCGAUGGCGCCAUAUUGAUCAAUAUAAAGGAUUUAUCGGUCGCUAUAAAAUAGAUCUUACCCUAUCGUUAUUCACGAAAAUGAAUAUUGACGGGGCUGAAAUUUAUAAUCGCGUAAUAUCCUGCUUUAACCAUGCCUCUACUUUAAUUUGUGUUGCAGCGAAUCAAUUUUGUUAUAUUACUGUUUGUACUGUAGAUGAUAAACACGAUGAACGCACCGGUGCAGCAACGAUGCGUUAAGAGAUCGAGGCUAUGAUGUUCUCAAUAAUCUUUUUAUCGGGCAACUCCUUUCGAUACUCCUUUCCCUUUGAUACACAUCUACAAAAUAUAAUACAAAGGGUAUCAUCCGAAGGCUAGGAAAUUGCUGAUACAUUUUAAUGACUUCAUCAACGAGCGUAGAAUUUUGAAAGAGUAGCGAUCAAUAUACCGAGAAUGAGUUUCUACUAGAUUCUACGGACCUCUCAAAUCGUCUCUCUGUUACAGAGCGAGACGUCAGAGGAUGAAUGAGGACCUGGGACUCAGCCGAGCAUAAUGGGAUAAGAUCUCCUACGGAUAAGGUGUUUCUCUUCGCCGUACGUUAUAUACCGCAAUCAGUUACAGUUCGUCGGUUGGUAAUUACACGGGGCUCGCCUUGUCCGGGAGCCGGGAUCUCGCGGAACAUGUGGCCUCCUUUUUUUUUCUUCACCGAGGAAACAGUUUUCCACGGGUUUCCGAGAAGCAACGGGCGGCCGUCACUUCCGGCAGCCCGGCACAAUGCAACGGCGGACAUUGUCACGUGACGGGUAAACAUCCAUUACCUCGGACGGAACGAAGCGAUUCUGACCAUUUGGCCAUUUCAAAGAAGAGGCAAAUCGAUCCGGCGACCUUCGGCCGCCCAGGGAACAAGGAAAAAGGUGGACUCCGGUCGGUCCCCCGUGACUGGUCGCUUCUUCGAUAGAUAUCUGGCGGAGAUAUUACGAUCUCUCGAUUGGAUUCGAUCGACCAUUUCACGAGCCUCCUCUCCGGCCUGGAUUAGGGAGGAGAGGAUGAUUUAAGGUUAAUUUCAAACGGAUUAUCCUUCCUUCGUUUCUCUAGAACGCGCGAUUCUUCAUGGUCUUAUUGGUGCAGUCGAGACGCGGCGCGACUCAAAUUGACCCAUCGCGAACGCUAUACGAAAUGGAACAAAACGGCAUCGUGGCAGCUCGAUUGGCAACUAAUCGAAAGAGUAAACGAGCGAAAGAGUAACACUCUCAAAAGAAACAUUCCCAAGGCACGAUCGUCUCUCUUACGUAAUAUUGAACUCUGUAAUCUUUCUAGAAGCCGAAUCGCAUUACGUGAUAUUCGCUCGUGAUAUUUUAUCACGUAUAAUUAAUAUUUAUUAUUAAUCCAAUAUUCUAAUAUAAUUCAGAGUUCUGCAGAUAUUCCGGAUAGAGUACUCUCGUACUAAAACAUAGCACUGAGCCGUUUAAUCUUAAUGUCAAUAAGAUAAGUUACACGAUGUUACGUACCGAUGUCCAUUUACCCCCUUCGAUUGAGAAGCGUGUUUAGUAACUAUCGGUUGCGGAAACAUGUAAAUUCACGAGCGCGCGGUUGUACGACGCGGGGAUCUGUUAUUACACACCCGGGAAAUUUCAUUUAGCGUGACAUUUGUCGCGUGAUUAUGCCACGUAAUUAGCGAAAUAACACCUGGACAUUUAAUAACUCAUCGGCUUGACUGAAACGAACGGUGUGAUGCGUUACAAUGGGCGGUUCGCCUAUAUCGGCGUUGAAAAUGUAACAAUUUUCGGCUAUGCAAUCGCGUACGAUCAGUUCGCACUCGUUUACUCGGAAUAUCGGUUACCGCACGUGACACAAGCAGAGAAUAACUAAACCUGCAUCGAGUAUGAAUUAACGCUUCGUGAAAAGUCAUUGACUCACCCCACGGCGACCGCCACAUCGGUGCCGCCGCUUUUUCGCAAUCCUAUUAAUUAGUUCAUUAAUUAAUAUGCAUCGAUAAUAUGCAUUAAUACGUCUUUAUUAACCUUUGAGGAUGAAAAAAAUACAAACACCGUAAGAAAAGAUGUAGAAGCACAAAAGACUUUCAUUAUAACACGUUUUAUUUUUGUCACAUUUAAACAGUUUAAUUUGACAAAUUGAAUUCAAUUUAAUUCAAGAAUUAUUAAAUCGCCGAUAUGUUUUACUACUAGUGUCUGUCACUCUUUCUUCCAACAGCACCAUUCUCAGCAACAUUUUUAUACCAUUAAAUUUUAAGUGUAUCUUUAUGUAACACGUAAAAAAAACUGUCUUAAAGCCAAUUAUUCGACGAAAACUAGCGAUCAAUUUUUCACUCGCGUUUCAUUAUGCCGAGCCAUCGUACCAUCGGUGUGUAUCGUUAAUGCCAUAAUUUUCUCGCAACAAUGAUAUCGGGCGGGCUGAGGGAACUACUUCCUCGAAAAUUAGCAGCGGAAGCGAGCGCGAACCCGGGGCCAACUUUAUAUCGAGUAACUCGGCCGAAAGUUAAACCGUGCCGCCGCGUAAUCGCUUUGGCGAAACGCUCCACGCCGCCGUAGGGCGAGCCCGCCGCACGAAUAUCCAGACGUCAUUUAAUCGGACAUUCCUCUCAAGGUUUCAGGGUCUCGCCGCGUCUCGUCAUGUAUCUCUUCCGCUUCGAGGCAUCACGUCACGAUAACCCACCGGUGCCAAGGCAACUGCGGCAAGCAGUUUCAUUCCGGGAUUACGGGUCGGGUGCCGCGGUCGUAGGCGACGUUACCUAUCUACCUAGCGGACGCUCGAUUCGCAGUCGCGAGACCUCAUAUUACAAGACGGGACAAGCAUCGUAAUGAGAGAUGCGAAUUACAGAAGGCUGAAAUUGCUCGGCGUGGCGUGUUAUACGUUGUUAUACGAGCGAGAUACUACGUGUAAUAUUUGGAUGUAAGGAAAUCGACAACCGUUCUCUUAUAAACUUUGUUCAAGUGUUGCGAAAGGUGAAGGUACACUUAUACGUUCACUACGAGCGAGACGAUAGAGAAGAACUGAACGUUGCUUGAGAACUUUACUUCCAUAAAAGAGGUAGAACAUUUUGUAAAAGAAAAAUCAAUAACAUGAGCGUUUUAAUACUGGAAGUAUUUAUUGACGUAGUUUCUUACCAAAAAAAAGGAAGAAAAAACGCAAGGACAGAUAGGCGACGCAUAAAUUUGUUUGAAUAGGACUAAUAACUGACUGAAUAUAGGAUUAAUACUGACUAAUAUUUGAAAUUUAGAAAAGUGUUUCUAUGAUAGAGAUGAGUCAUAAAGGAUCAAGAUUUAUUAAGGUAGAUUUUAGAUAGGGUAGGUUUUUUAGAUUAUUAGUUUAGAUUUUAGAUAGUUUGUAGAGAAACGGUUUGCAUAGGAUUUAAGAAUAGAAAGACUCUAAGAAAAAUGUGUCUUAUUAUUAGAGACACUUUUCUAAAUUUUCAAUCUAUAUACAGACAAUGGUAGUAAGAUAAAAGCUAUUUGAGGAGAAAAAUGUUUUUCUUAGUAUUGAGCAGUUCGAUAUAACUACAAAAAGAAACCUUUAAUUAAGAUAUAAGUAUUUUUUUGCUAUCAAGAAUCACUGUCUUACGGUUUAUUACACUGCGACUGAUAAUUUUGGACAAUGAAGUGAAACGCGUGCGUAAGAAUUUUUUUCUUUCGCAUCCUGUGUACGUUUGUGCUAAUUUCUUUUUAGUCCAACAUAAAUGUUAUAAACUAAGAAAGAAUUUGCAGGUAUAAGUGCAAAACUUUGCAUCUAUGUUAAUAUAAUAUUUCACGUCAACCGAUUCUACAUGUCAUACGAUUAUCUCAUAUAUAUGUAUACACCAAUCAGAGAGAGCUAUAAAAUAUUACUUUAGAUGUUUAGAGAAUAUAACCUAAGGAAUAAAAAAAGUUGCCAUUUACGUUUAAAUCAUAUUCCUUUUUUAAAUAAGUUCACUGUUACCCUUGAAACAUAACUGACACAUUUGAAACAUUAACUGUGAAACACAUUGAUUUCAUUUUUUUUCAUUUUUAGACAGUUACGUCCAUUGAAUGUAUAUCAAUCUACUUUUCAGAUGAAUCCGUUUUCUGAUACGCUAUGUUUUUGAAAGUUGAAAGCAUAAAUACAGUACGAUGUACAGUUACAAUGCGGUAAUCUGAUUAGCGUUCGAGGAAGAGUCGAUCACGGGAAUUAUUUGUGUUUAUUAUAUCCAUAAAUAAGCGUGAAGCAUGACGAAGAGGAUAGAUGUACCGUGACAUAACAACGUAUCUUCUAUCGAGAGAUAAAAAAAUGAACGCAGAAUAACUUUUUCACCAUGUGUCCUAUCUCAAGUAAAUAAUUUGUUAUUACGUAAUUUUUAUUAUUUCCAUGUAUACCCUUCACUGAGAGUAACAGUAAAAAUUAUUCAUACACGGAAAGGACAAUUUUAUUGCAAAAUAUAAAAAUUUAUCUAGAUAUAAUUAUACAAUUUUUUUUAAUAGUCCAACAUAAUUAUUUUCAGAUUUGUAUUUCAGUAAAAUCAUCUCUUCCACGUAUGAAAUUAAAACAAUAAGAAAGAAUAUCAAUAAAUAUUGGAACACGGCUCUAAUCUCGCAUGUAAAAAGAAAAAGAACAUAAAAUUUAAACAUCUCUUUAUCAAAUCUUUUAAAAUAAAAAAUAAAAAAUAAUCACACUCUAAAAAAAAACUAGGUCGUUUUGCCUAUAGCGUCGUAAUUAUUCUGGCUAAAUAACCAUUAAGCUCUUUCAGCCGUGUUGCGCCAUCGAUACCGUAAAUUCGUGCCGCCUCAGGUUGUCUUGCAGUCAACUUGCAAAAGGUUGAAAUCAACUUGCCAGUCGAUAACCUAUAAUUGAAUACGUAGGCGCCGCAAAAAGUGUAAUCAAAGCGCGACGGUGCCGCUUGCACUCUCGUAAGACGAAACAGGUUUCUUCGAAUACUGUCACGGAGAAAUGACGGAGCAGGCGAGAUCGUUAUGAUCGUCUUUGCGAUCUGUCCGCAUUCUUUCUUUCCAUAGUUCUUAUUAAAUUGAUGGAAUAUCGAAGUAAGCAUCUAUCUGACAUUUAAUAUUUAAAAAAAAGCAUACUUUCUAUGCACUUCGGGAAAUAAUAAUAUCAAAUAAACGAAUCAAGGAUUCAAUCGAAGACUUGCAUAAAAUAGUCUUUUUAUAUUUAUAACAAAUUAGAUAUUAUAUAAUUUAAAUAAUAACACGAAUUAUAAAUAUCCUGUGUAUGCAAGUGAUGAUAUUGAAUGAUCAAGAAUUCCAUCAAAUAAUUACGAGAAACGUAUAGUCUUUUUAUUAUUACUUUAUAUAUUUUAUUACAAAUUAUCUAAUUUAAAUAAUAACACAAAUUAAAUACUCUUACUGAAAGUAUAAAAAAAUUUAUCAUCUUAACGACUUAAAAUAAAUCGCAAGAAAAAGUUUCAAACUUGAACUAUCGCGGAUGAUUUGAGCAGUUUCACUACAUCUUAUCGAAUCGACACCGGAUGAGUGAUCAUUAUAUCGACAAUAUCUUUCCUGGUCAUUUCAUUGUAUUACGAAACUUCAACAAUAGAUCACUCGAGCGGAUCAGAUAGCAAAAGAACAAAAUGAUAAGAUAGUUAAUUAAUUCGAAUCGAUUAAGUAUCUGGUUCUUUCAGAUAAUUGACAUCAAGUAUAAUCGAUGUAGUUGAUUUACCUCUUUUUAUUUUUGGAGGGUGGAAAAGCGAUAUAUUUAUCGAACUCCAAUAUUAUUAGAACCACAAAUUUAUCUCCAAUGGUCAAAUAUUUGCGACAUAUAAUUGUAAAUAAAUAUUAAAAAUAUAUAUAUAUGAUAUAUAUGUAUUUUAUUAUAAAUAAUUAAGGUAAACUUUUUAUAGUGAUUCGUCAUGUAUCUAUGUUACUUAAAAAUUUAUAAAAAUUUAUUAAUAUCAAAUACUUUUUCUACGUAAGUUUUUGUGUCUACAUAUAAAUAUAGUUGCGAUCACCAGGAUAUUUUUACUUUAUCAAGAUUUUGUCAUUUGAAAACCAAAUUUGAAGAGAUCUUUUUUUUGUCAUUUUUAAUUAUACUGUUGAACAUUUUUGCAUAUGUCGCUUUUUAGUUGUUUAAUAGAUAAGUAUUCCCGAAAAUGAAAACGUCGUAACUAACUACGGAAAUAUGUUUGUGGAUGACCCAACGGAGUCAUUGGCAGUGCUGUUUCUGUGAGUAUUACAAAUGCAAUAAAGUUUGACGAGAUGCCACUUCGUCGAAAAUUUAUUUGUAUUUUCCAUGGAAGAGUCGGAAUUAACGAAUUCCAGGAAUAACUGACGCGCGGCAACACAACAAGCGCAUAAUACAAAAUGUACUAUGUAACACGCGAUGUACUUUGCACAAACGUAUUUAGAAUUUCCCCGAAGCCCUGAUGAAGUCGAUAUAACACAUCUUUCACGUGAAAGUCAUGUGAUUUAUUCGGUCAUUUUACACCGAUUUCAUCGCAUGAUACUUCUAUCGUUGUGUAUUAUGUCUCUCUAUCACUUAAUAUUUUUAUCAUCAGAAAGUAAACA